rnacentral:rRNA from 1 species
CGCGGCCUAUCAGCUUGUUGGUGGGGUAAUGGCCUACCAAGGCGACGACGGGUAGCCGGCCUGAGAGGGCGACCGGCCACACUGGGACUGAGACACGGCCCAGACUCCUACGGGAGGCAGCAGUGGGGAAUAUUGCGCAAUGGGCGGAAGCCUGACGCAGCGACGCCGCGUGAGGGAUGAAGGCCUUCGGGUCGUAAACCCCUUUCAGCAGGGAAGAAGCGUGAGUGACGGUACCUGCAGAAGAAGCACCGGCUAACUACGUGCCAGCAGCCGCGGUAAUACGUAGGGUGCAAGCGUUGUCCGGAAUUAUUGGGCGUAAAGAGCUCGUAGGCGGUCUGUCGCGUCUGCUGUGAAAACUCAGGGCUUAACCCUGAGCUUGCAGUGGGUACGGGCAGACUAGAGUGCGGUAGGGGAGACUGGAAUUCCUGGUGUAGCGGUGAAAUGCGCAGAUAUCAGGAGGAACACCGGUGGCGAAGGCGGGUCUCUGGGCCGUAACUGACGCUGAGGAGCGAAAGCAUGGGGAGCGAACAGGAUUAGAUACCCUGGUAGUCCAUGCCGUAAACGUUGGGCGCUAGGUGUGGGGACCUUUCCAUGGUUUCCGUGCCGCAGCUAACGCAUUAAGCGCCCCGCCUGGGGA